UUGUUCUAUGCGUCAUGUUGUGUAUAAUCUGCCAAUUUGAAUGGAAAACUACUUCUGUGCAUUACGUUUUAAUACAACAUAUCAAUUUGGAAACCAGUUUUGCACUUUUGUUAAUGUGGUAUACUCUUUUUGGUUGGUUGAUAAGACUUGCUGGCUAUUUUGUUUUCGUUGGCUAUUUUGAAUUGGAAAAAUACUUCGAUGCAUUACUUUUUAAUACAAAAUAUCAAUUUGGAAGCAAAUCGAUGAUUCUCUUGGUGAAGUUAAAAAAAAUGUGCACACGUUGGUAUCAACAUAAAUGCCAUUUAGGGUGGUAGGAUGAGAAAGGAUUCUCUGAUGUUAUUUUGUAGGUUGAGAAUGCACACCUAUGUUAGAAUUUGACAUACGCUUGAUGCAUAGUUUACCAUCAAAGAACUUUUUUGAGAGUGGAUUUUUUUUAUUGCUACAUGCUUAGGCGAUUUCUUGGUUUGGUGAAAGCUUCAUCAAAUGAUAGUCUUUUUCUAUAUAGCAUCACAGCUCGUGGCGAUAUACUGUAGGAAAUGCUUAAAAAAUGAUGAGUUUCAUGCAUGUACUUGACAGGGCUGAACUGCAUCCAUCAGUUUCUGACGUUUCAUGCAAUGGUCUUGCUGCCAGGGUAUACUUCUAUGCUUGCCCUAUUAUUUCUUUGAGAUCCUUGUUUGUUAGAUUUGAGUAAUUUGAUAACUAAUGGGAAUAAAUCAUGGAUGUUAUUGUGUCUAUGCAUAUGCUAGUCUAACAUGGCUUUUACAGCUUGAAAAGUGCAGGAUGUUAAUUGAAAUUGCUGGAAAUUACUUAGAUGAAGGGGCAAAUCCUUUCCAUGUAGUUGAGGCGUGCAAUGAAGUUUGGAAGGGCAUGGUAGUGAAAUUGGAUCCAUGAUGAGGCAUGAGCGUCUUUGCACACUUGCUGCCUUAUUGCUUAAGAUUGUUAUAGUUGGAGAUGAUUGUGCAUUGCCUCCACCUCAAGGCAUAGCUGGAUGAAGAGGUUUGGCAGGCCCUAUUCUUGUCCACAAGGUUGCUGGAGCUAGCUGCUGCUGCUGGCCUUUCCCUUUCUUAAGUUACUCUGUUACUGCAGAAGCAAAACGUGCAUCUGAAAUGGUUGGGACAAUGGGUGUUGCCUUAUCUGUUUUUACACUGCCUAGGCAGGUUUCAUCAUAUCGUCUGGGUUCUGGAAAAUGGAACUUGGUCUUGAGAUUGUGAGUUAAUUUUCAAAACGACAUCUUAUGCAUGAAGUAUAUAGUGGUGAAUAUGAAGUUUAUUAGAAUGUGUUUGGUGUAAAUAAUAUGUUGGAAAUAAAUUGAAUUUCAUUCAAUAUUUCAGAAUUUGUCAGGUUUUAUCUUGAGUUGAUUGCUUCUGAUGCUGAAGUGGUCAAGUAUUCUUGUGGAUCUUUUACAGGGCCACUGCUUACACAUUGUGAAACUGGUGCUGCUGUUGUGGACCUUCAACUUGUAGAUGUAGUUGUCUCUCAUGUGCUUAAGCAGAUAUUGUCAAGGGCAUGCUCAAUACCUGGGAGAAUUGGUGCCACUCUAUGGUACUGAUGAUUGUAGCAGGCAAAGCAGUCCCUAACUUGCAAUUGGAGAAUGGAUUGGCUGUCAAUAGAGUGUACACCGGUUUUGCUAUUUUUUGUUGUCUUUUCACUUUGUUGAAAAGAUGCUUCAUAUGAAUUGUUAGACUUCAAGAAUUGAUAUAAUUAUUAAUUUUCAUUGAAUAUAAAAACAUUUUUCCCAAA